ensembl:lncRNA
GUGGUGUAGCAUACAGGAAUAAAAUGAGGAUUAGCAGCAGUACUUGAAGUGAUAAGAAUGGCAGAAUGAAAAUGACUGACCUUGCUUCUGUCCAGCUUGGCCGUCCCAUCCCAGAAAGUGCAUGUUAGCCAGGGCCUGUGAGAUUUGUUCAUCAACUGCACUCUGUUGUCCCACUGUGCAUCUGUGCUCUGGAUUAAACUCUGAUGUUCCUGAGGCUUCUCCCUGGCUCAAAUUCCCCUGUUCACAAACACUGAGCCCUCGAUCUGCUAGGCAGUCCAAACGAAAUAAUUCCUUUGGAUCACAAAUCCCAUCUGUCCCAUGCUGGCCAGUCUGGUCUAAAUGGCAGAACUUCCGUAGGAUAUCCUGAUAGCUGCUGGAUGUCAAGUUCAUCAGCUGCUCUGCCACCUCUUGUGCCUCAUCCCGGAUAUACUCCAGAGAGAGCUGUCCUGAAUUGCAGAAGGGGCUGAUGGGACUUCUGCUGCCCCUCAAACAGCAGUAGAUCUCGACAGAUACUUUCUCUGGAACAUCGUGGCCUUGACGGAGAAAGGGUGAGAAAAGUUCACUGAGGUAGCUCAUCAAAUAUGUUAAAUUAUACAUAUUCUAUCUGCUCAUGAUGGACUACAUCAUUUUGAUCUUACCGUCCAACUUUUUUUAUAUUUGGUAAUUUGUGAUUUUGUGUAGUUUUUUGUUUUACAGUGUCUUAAACUAAAGGCUGCUGAAAAAAGGAGAAGUCCUUCAAUAUGCCCUAAACAUUAAAAACUAGGGUAAUAUUUGUACAUCAUCAUACUGUCUUGUGUUACUGUCUUGAUAUGACAAAACACAAAAACAGGACGUUAUGAACACUAGAACUUUAUAUUAUAGGAAGAAAUCAGGCACUGGCCCAUUUUACUUUUACUUUACUUAAAGCCAUCAGGUAACAUGAGCUCACAACUCUAUUUCAUUAUGUUUCAAGACUGAACAAUUUCUUUCAGGUAUUUGUUGCCUUCUAACGAUAUGUUUCAAUAGAAAUACAUAUUCUUCACUCCUCACCAUAUGCAAACAAGCACUAUCACUGACCAGCGCUGUACUGGUUUCAUUUGUGAACAGGAGAUCCCCUUAUAAUCCAGUUCACACUGACGACGGUAACCAUAAAGAUAACCAGAACUUCAAAGUUUUAAUACUCAUUCUAACUCUAUAUGAAAAAAGGUACGACUACACCACAACUAUAGAAAUAUCUUUAGAACCGUUUCAGAUGAUGCCCAUUUUCCAAGAUGAUGGAUGAUAAAAGCAUUGACAGCCAAUCAGAAUCCACCUGAAAAGAAUGCUCAAGCAUUUGAAGCAGCAGAUGAAAAAAACUACAGCACAUUUCAAAUAAACAAUGUUAACAUCCAUUGACGUGAAUGCCAAUAUAGUUAUUGUUAUAGUUCUAGGUGUGAGCUGGCCAUUACACAAUCAAAGAAAAUCAACCUAUAUACAUCUAUUAGACUGUGUGAUUAAUUCAGUGUUUUACCGGGCACAGUGAAUCUAACUGAACCUUGAUCCGUGGUCCUGUGAGCUGUAGUGACAUGGUGAAGGGAUGAGCCUACAAGGAGCACAUAGUAGUCAGCUUCUUCCUGAACACACGGUGACACCUGCAGCUUCACAAAGACCUCCACCUGACCCUGAGAGAAAGACAGUUACAUCCACAUUAUGAUUUGUGAUACACACAGCAUGUCAUGAUGGAGUUAUCAAAGAAAUAUAUUUUUAAAGCCAAGACAAUUCUUUGGAAAUGGAGCUUAUUAUUCAGGCAAAUAAAUGCAGAUCACUGAAAUGUUACGUUAGUCAAAUUGAAAAUGAACAAUCUACUGAACAAUAGCAAUAUAUUUCUUCAAAUGAAUCCAGACUUUUAUUUUGACGGGUUGCCGGGAAUAUCUUUACAGUUCUGUGUGUAUAUGAUAUGACACCAGUUUUAUUCAAAUUAAAUGGUAAAAUGUCGAGGAAGUGACUCUCAGAACAGUUCUGGAAAUGUUGUUCAUGUAUUUAUGUCCUCAUUUAGUGAGACGGCAGAGCUGAAAUCACCGC